UGGCGGACGGGUGAGUAAUGUCUGGGAAACUGCCUGAUGGAGGGGGAUAACUACUGGAAACGGUAGCUAAUACCGCAUAACGUCGCAAGACCAAAGAGGGGGACCUUCGGGCCUCUUGCCAUCGGAUGUGCCCAGAUGGGAUUAGUUAGUAGGUGGGGUAAAGGCUCACCUAGGCGACGAUCCCUAGCUGGUCUGAGAGGAUGACCAGCCACACUGGAACUGAGACACGGUCCAGACUCCUACGGGAGGCAGCAUG
rnacentral:rRNA from 1 species